GGAGAGGUACCGAAGUCCGGUCGUAACGGGCCCGACUCGAAAUCGGGUUAGCGGUUUACCCCGCUACGUGGGUUCGAAUCCCACCCUCUCCG
rnacentral:tRNA from 1 species